AUCGAUGAAGAACGCAGCGAAAUGCGAUAAGUAAUGUGAAUUGCAGAAUUCAGUGAAUCAUCGAAUCUUUGAACGCACAUUGCGCCCUUUGGUAUUCCAUAGGGCAUGCCUGUUCGAGCGUCACUGACAACCCCAUCAUACAAGAGUGUGGUAUUGGCAGAAGUGGGUAGGGCUAGCAGUGCUGGUCCCACUCUGCUGGAAUGAAUAGGCCGGAAAUGCAGACCAUGGCAACAAACUUUCAGAGUAUUUUGAAAUGCUAAAUUAGUUUGGAGCUGGUCAGAAUCCAGGCUAUCGGACCCCCAUUCUGUGUAAAGCAGUAAUGUUGACCUCGGAUCAGGUAGGGAUACCCGCUGAACUUAAGCAUAUCAAUAAGCGGAG
rnacentral:rRNA from 1 species